rnacentral:rRNA from 1 species
AACACGACUCUCGGCAACGGAUAUCUCGGCUCUCGCAUCGAUGAAGAACGUAGCAAAAUGCGAUACCUGGUGUGAAUUGCAGAAUCCCGUGAACCAUCGAGUUUUUGAACGCAAGUUGCGCCCGAGGCCGUCUGGUCGAGGGCACGCCUGCCUGGGCGUCACGC